AGAGUUUGAUCAUGGCUCAGGACGAACGCUGGCGGCGUGCUUAACACAUGCAAGUCGAACGGAAAGGCCCUUCGGGGUACUCGAGUGGCGAACGGGUGAGUAACACGUGGGUGAUCUGCCCUGCACUCUGGGAUAAGCCUGGGAAACUGGGUCUAAUACCGGAUAGGACCGCAUGCUUCAUGGUGUGUGGUGCAAAGCUUUUGCGGUGUGGGAUGAGCCCGCGGCCUAUCAGCUUGUUGGUGGGGUAAUGGCCUACCAAGGCGACGACGGGUAGCCGGCCUGAGAGGGUGACCGGCCACACUGGGACUGAGAUACGGUCCAGACUCCUACGGGAGGCAGCAGUGGGGAAUAUUGCACAAUGGGCGCAAGCCUGAUGCAGCGACGCCGCGUGAGGGAUGACGGCCUUCGGGUUGUAAACCUCUUUCAGUAGGGACGAAGCGAAAGUGACGGUACUUACAGAAGAAGGACCGGCCAACUACGUGCCAGCAGCCGCGGUAAUACGUAGGGUCCGAGCGUUGUCCGGAAUUACUGGGCGUAAAGAGCUCGUAGGUGGUUUGCCGCGUUGUUCGUGAAAACUCACAGCUUAACUGUGGGCGUGCGGGCGAUACGGGCAGACUAGAGUACUGCAGGGGAGACUGGAAUUCCUGGUGUAGCGGUGGAAUGCGCAGAUAUCAGGAGGAACACCGGUGGCGAAGGCGGGUCUCUGGGCAGUAACUGACGCUGAGGAGCGAAAGCGUGGGUAGCGAACAGGAUUAGAUACCCUGGUAGUCCAA
rnacentral:rRNA from 1 species